UGCCAAAACUAUAGUUUGUUAACAAGACAUUUGUCGAGUGGUUGAAAAAUACGUUUUAAUGACUCCAACCUAACAUGCUGACCAAACCUGACACGUCGCGUGCGCGAGCGUUGUAAAAUAAAUUUUGAAUCCAUGUUAUUCAAUUAUUGCACCCACACUGCUCGCGAGUGCCCACGAGCGUCUGCGUUGCUAAGGGCUAACGCUUCGAACACACCGACUGUGUUUUGCGUCACUGCUGCAUAACAUUUUGCGCAGCUAGGCAACUAUACUUUUGCAAAUGGUCGCAUGCUGUUGGACACAUGGAGGAGAUAAUCAUUUUCGCAGUAUCCUCAAAACGGUGUCUUUUUGACACAACUGCUGACAGCUACAGUGACAAACACAAAAAGUGCUGCUUUGAGACAAGUGUCCACGAUAGUAGGAUUGCCAGAAGAAGACUGUAGGAGGAAGUGGAGAGGACUCAGGGACAGGUAUCAGAGAGAGAGAAGGGCAGAGAAAGAGAAGAGGUCUGGGUCAGCAGCUUCAGGUCAGCAGCCUUGGCGCUUCUGCCACAUUCUUUCUUUUCUGGAUCCAUUUAUUGUGCCUCGGGCAACGAGUGGCAAAUUUUACAUCAAGACCCUCAACGUCACCUACAAAUGCGACCAUCACCUCCACCGGAGGAGUGAGACCAUCUACAACAUCAUCCACGAGUAUGACCACCACCGGUGCAGCCAUGGAAGAUGAUGAAAUGGAGGAAGCACCUCUGGAUCUAGGACCACCUGAGAUUAUUAUGAACCUCACGGAAGUGACCACUGAGGACCUCGUUGAACAGGAUGUGGCCGUGGAGAGAAACAGAGAGAGAAACGAAGAGGAACAACGUCACACCAGGCGUCAUCGGUGGUACCAGCCCCCAGGUCCACUCAACUCAUUUCAGCAGAGGCUCCUCCAAGCCGUCGAGAGGGAUGCAGCCCAACCUGAUGCUCACAGGUAGGAGGAUGAAGAGACCCUCUUUGCCACG